GACGAACGCUGGCGGCGUGCUUAACACAUGCAAGUCGAACGGAAAGGCCCCUUUGGGGGUACUCGAGUGGCGCACGGGUGAGUAACACGUGAGUAACCUGCCCUUGCCUUCGUGAUAACUUCAGGAAACUGGGGCUAAUACCGGAUCGGAAUCCUUGCUGCAUCGUGGGGGUUGGCAAGCUUCGGCGGUUUUGGAUGGACUUGCUGCUUAUCAUCUUGUUGGUGGGGUAGUGGGUUACCAAGGCUUUGACGGGUAGCCGGGCUGAGCGGGCGACCGGCGAUAAUGGGACUGAGACACGGCCCAGACCCCGACGGUAAGCAGCAGGGGGGAAUCUUGCACAAAGGGCGGAAGCCUGAUGCAGGAACGCCUCGGGCGGGAGGACGGCCUUCGGGUUGUAAACCGCUUUCAGCAGGGGCGAGGCUUGUGGUGACGGUACCUGCAGAAGAAGCAACGGCUAACUACGUG
rnacentral:rRNA from 1 species